UAAAAAACAAAUAAAUCAAAACUUUCAACAACGGAUCUCUUGGUUCUGGCAUCGAUGAAGAACGCAGCAAAAUGCGAUAAGUAAUGUGAAUUGCAGAAUUCAGU
rnacentral:rRNA from 1 species